rnacentral:piRNA from 2 species
UGAACCCUCAGGAUCCCCAGAGAGCAACCUGC